AAUCAGUUAUGGUUCAUUGGAUGGUACACAGUUACUUGGAUAACUGUGGUAAUUCUAGAGCUAAUACAUGCAAACAGAGUCCCAAUCAUUAAUUUGUGCGGGAUGCUUUUAUUAGAUCAAAACCAAUCGGGCCUCACGGUCUGUCGUUUUGGUGACUCUGAAUAACUUUGGGCUGAUCGCAUGGUCUUGUACCGGCGACGCAUCCUUCAAAUGUCUGACUUAUCAACUUUCGAUGGUAGAUUCUGCGCCUACCACGGUUGUAACGGGUAACGGGGAAUCAGGGUUCGAUUCCGGAGAGGGAGCCUGAGAAACGGCUACCACAUCCAAGGAAGGCAGCAGGCGCGCAAAUUACCCACUCCCAGUUCGGGGAGGUAGUGACGAAAAAUAACGAUGCAGAACUCAUUCCGAGGCUCUGCAAUCGGAAUGAGUACACUCUAAAUCACUUAACGAGUAUCCAUUGGAGGACAAGUCUGGUGCCAGCACCCGCGGUAAUUCCAGCUCCAAUAGCGUAUAUUAAAGUUGUUGCGGUUAAAAAGCUCGUAGUUGGAUUUGUGUUUCACGCUGACGGUUCACCGUUUUGUCGGUGUUUAACUGUCAUGUCGUGGUACGUAUUGCCGGUUGGCAUGUUUGUUUGUCUGCUUUCCGGUAGGCAAACGGCUGCCAGUUCCAAUCCUGUUGCGGUGCUCUUCACCGAGUGUCGUGACAGGCCGGCACGUUUACCUUGNACAAAUUUGAGUGCUUAAAGCAUGCUCUAAUUGCCGGAAAACUGUGUGCAUGGAAUAAUAUAAUAGGACCGCGGUUCUAUUUUGUUGGUUUUCAGAGUCCGAGGUAAUGAUUAAUAGGGACCGGCGGGGGCAUUAGUAUUGCGACGUUAGAGGUGAAAUUCUUGGAUCGUCGCAAGACUAACCUAAGCGAAAGCAUUUGCCAAGGAUGCUUCCAUUAAUCAAGAACGAAAGUUAGAGGUUCGAAGGCGAUCAGAUACCGCCCUAGUUCUAACCAUAAACGAUGCCAGCCAGCGAUCCGUCGCAGUUCCUCCGAUGACUCGACGGGCAGCUUCCGGGAAACUAAAGCAUUUGGGUUCCGGGGGAAGUAUGGUUGCAAAGCUGAAACUUAAAGGAAUUGACGGAAAGGCACCACCAGGAGUGGAGCCUGCGGCUUAAUUUGACUCAACACGGGAAAUCUCACCAGGCCAGAACACUAGAUGGAUUGACAGAUUGAGAGCUCUUUCUUGAUUUAGUGGGUGGUGGUGCAUGGCCGUUCUUAGU
rnacentral:rRNA from 1 species